AUACCUGUAGUAUAAAUGUACAAUUAACUUCCAAUUAAUAAGACCGCCAGCGGCAGGUAUA
rnacentral:tRNA from 1 species